ensembl:lncRNA
GGUGGUUUUACCAAGGCCUCGUUCCGAAACGCACUUAGUCGCAAUCACAAGAUAAUCACAUCAGCUUAGGACAAAGACGGGAGGCCGAGCCCGGUUGUCUCAACCCAGCGAUGAAGAACCUGCGGUGGAACUCUGGGAGCAGGUGACAGGAGGAUCAGCUGAGCAACUGGCUGAUAAGGGGAGAAAUGCAGAGACAGGAGGGGCGGACGCCGUUUAAAGCCAAACACGCAAACUCCAGAGCGGCUCGGGUCAAUGAGAAGGAGGGCCGACACCGGGCGCGGGCCACGGCCUCAGAACGCCACAGAUGACGAUCCAACCCACAAAAGUAAUCACGAGAUCUGAUAAGGUCGCAGUCUGUCAAUGAAUUACCGCGUCUGUUUUUUUUUUUUUUUUUUUUUUUAAAUCACGGCCAAUUAAAUGCCUCCAUAUCAUCUCUGGUUCUUAAAUGAUCCGCCAUAAUCAUUAAAGUCGAACUAUACGGCCAUUAAGGCUGUCACGUUGUUCCACCACCGCACGUAUCUGUGUGUGUGUGUGUGUGUGUGUGUGUGUGUGUGUGUGUGUGUGUUCAGGC